CAGAGAGACACAACGAACAAACACUUUAGCAGAGGUCGCUAGCGCACGGAAGCGGUGUCAACUCUCAGACCAAAAAAGCUUCUCUAGUUUGAAUAAAGUAAUGAGGUAGGACGUCGGACAGCUAACUACAUUCACCUUGUUCGGAACAGACUGGCGUCGCCAUAGUAAACAUGGACCAGGAGUUUGAAGACAUAGACUCGGAGGGCCGGUGGCAGAAAAUGUACUUAGAAAUCAGAAAUCAGUCCCAGGAGUGCUCCUACAAGGUGGCAAAGUAUCCAGAGAAUCGUAACCGAAACAGAUACAGAGACGUCAGUCCAUUUGAUCAUAGUCGGGUAAAGUUGAAGAACACAGAGAAUGACUACAUCAACGCAAGUCUGGUAGUGAUGGAGGAAGCCCAGAGAAGUUACAUACUGGCUCAGGGCCCCCUCAGAAACACUUGUGGUCACUUCUGGCUCAUGAUCUGGGAGCAGAAGACCAAGGUGAUCAUCAUGCUCAACAGGGUCAUAGAGAAAGGUUCAGAAAAGUGUGCCCAGUACUGGCCUACAUCUGAGGAGAGGGAGAUGACCUUUAGAGACACACGCUUCUUGGUCACGCUAUUGUCAGAAGAUACCAAGUCUUACUACACCACCCGAGUGUUGGAGUUGCAGAAUGUCAAUACGGGGGAGAAGAGAGAGAUCUACCACUUUCAUUACACCACAUGGCCUGAUUUUGGUGUCCCAGAGUCCCCAGCCUCCUUCCUAAACUUCCUUUAUAAGGUGAGGGAGUCAAAAGCGCUGGGUCUCGACCACGGGCCAGCGGUGGUUCACUGUAGUGCUGGAAUUGGACGCUCGGGGACAUUUUCAUUAGUCGACACAUGUUUAGUCCUGAUGGACAAGAGGAAAGGCCCGUCAUCCGUGGACAUCAAAAGCAUCCUGCUGGACAUGAGGAAGUACCGCAUGGGUCUGAUUCAAACCCCUGACCAGCUACGCUUCUCAUACAUGGCUGUUCUUGAAGGAGCCAAGUACAUAAUGGGAGACUCAUCUAUACAGAACCGGUGGAAGGAGUUGUCCAAGGAGGACCAGGAGCCAUCGUCGGCGUCUCGCCCCUCGAGUCAGCCUCAGGUCAGGUGUCCAGGGGAGCGAUGCAAUGGCAGCCAGCGGGUUGGUCAGUUGGAGGAAGGGGUUGACUACAGGCAGGACGGCAAAGCACCGGCACAGUCUCCCUGCAAGGAACAGGAGUUAGACAGCAGCACAUCACACAAGCGACGCAGAGAAGACAGUAUCUCUAAAUCAGGGACAGCCAAAACAUCCCAAAGCAAGCCCAGGACAAGUGACUCGGACAGGAAGAGAAAAAGUUUGGGCUGCAUUUGCUGCACAUGACAAGAGCUGGCCUGUCCAGUGGGGGGCAGUAUAUCUGUAACCCCUUCUGAGACAGCAACAACAACUGCCAUGAAGAGCACAUUUAGAGGAGGAGGUUUACCCACAGCUUUUAAAAAGAACACCCACUCUUGGUGAAAACCAGCGACUGCUAACCACCUCCACCCGUGGCCACGCAACUACAGCUUUUGGCGACAAAGCCACCAUCGGCAGGGAUUUCCAGCUCUCUCCUCUGAGCUCUGUCCUCCACAAGUCCAACCCACCUCAUCCCUCUUUUAUUUGCUAUCACUUAUUUUAUUGUUUUUCCCCCCUGUGUCUCAGCCCAACAGCAUUAUUUAGCCGCAGUUCGCUUCUUAUUACAUGUCACUCCUGCUUCCUCCUUAGUUUCGUAGUGUAUCACAGCUGUUCCCUAUCACCUCUUCCUCUUUCAACUGUUUACAGAAGAUACUUUGACAUUCUUUGAAGCCCCCACCACCUCCUCCUCCUCACCUCGGCCUGAACCUCAUCCACCACCUGUGCUGCUCCUGGAGUCAGAGGACAAUGUUUUUUUGCUUUCAUAAUAAUAUUAUUGUUUUCACUUUCUAUUAAAAGUGUCUGAAAUUAGGACACAACAUAGUGGUGGCUCUCCACUGCCAGUUUGUUAUGGUGUUCAUAUUUGUAUUUUUAGAAAAGCUUUUUCAGAGACAAAAAAAAUGGAGAAAAACAAAGUUCUAUUUUUUAUAAGAGAUUACUUGAAGUUUUUCACAGUGAUGUGGGGAGUUGGUUCAGUAAGAAGCUCUGCCACCUCCCACACGAGAAAUUCAGUGGCAUGUAAUGUUUUCAUGAUGUACAUAGUGUUCUUUUUAAAAAUGUGUGUAAAAAGACAUAUUUUGUUGCUUGUAAAGAAAAAAAAGAAAUGGUGUUACAGAUUUGAAUACAGUAGAAAGCUGAUUUGAUGACUUGUUCUUUUUUUUUUUUUUAAUGAAUUUGUCUUAAGCUCUCUCUCUCUCUUUCUCUCUCUCGAGUGUAAUCUACAAAUAAAACUGGUAUUAUCUAGUUUACUUAACAAA